UCUGGUACCUGAGUACCGCAGGACACGUGCAAUCCGGCGGGAAUCUGGAGGGACCACCCUCCAAGGCUAAAUACUCCUUACUGACCGAUAGUGAACAAGUACCGCGAGGGAAAGGCGAAAAGAACCCCGGCGAGGGGAGUGAAAUAGAACCUGAAAACCGUACGUCUACAAGCAGUGAAAGCACCGUGCCGCAAGGCCGUGCGAUCACGUACCUUUUGCAUAAUGGGGCCUGCGAGUUACCGUACGUGGCAAGGUUAAGCCGUCAGGUGGAGCCGGAGCGAAAGCGAGUCUUAACAGGGCGAAUAGUCGCGUGCGGUAGACCCGAAACCUUAGCGAUCUAUCCAUGACCAGGUUGAAGGGCGGGUAACACUGCCUGGAGGACCGAACACACCACAGUUGAAAAUGUGGGUGAUGAGUUGUGGAUAGGAGUGAAAGGCUAAUCAAGCUGGGAGAUAGCUGGUUCUCCUCGAAAUAUAUUGAGGUAUAGCCUCGGAUGAACUGCGCCGGAGG
rnacentral:rRNA from 1 species